rnacentral:rRNA from 1 species
ACGCACGCUGGCGGCGUGCUUAACACAUGCCAGUCGCACGGAAAGGCCCUGCUUUUGUGGGGUGCUCGAGUGGCGAACGGGUGAGUAACACGUGAGUAACCUGCCCUUGACUUUGGGAUAACUUCAGGAAACUGGGGCUAAUACCGGAUAGGAGCUCCUGCUGCAUGGUGGGGGUUGGAAAGUUUCGGCGGUUGGGGAUGGACUCGCGGCUUAUCAGCUUGUUGGUGGGGUAGUGGCUUACCAAGGCUUUGACGGGUAGCCGGCCUGAGAGGGUGACCGGCCACAUUGGGACUGAGAUACGGCCCAGACUCCUACGGGAGGCAGCAGUGGGGAAUAUUGCACAAUGGGCGGAAGCCUGAUGCAGCAACGCCGCGUGCGGGAUGACGGCCUUCGGGUUGUAAACCGCUUUCGCCUGUGACGAAGCGUGAGUGACGGUAAUGGGUAAAGAAGUACCGGCUAACUACGUG